rnacentral:rRNA from 1 species
UGGGGAAUUUUGGACAAUGGGCGAAAGCCUGAUCCAGCCAUGCCGCGUGUCUGAAGAAGGCCUUCGGGUUGUAAAGGACUUUUGUCAGGGAGGAAAUCCCUAGCGUUAAUACCGCUGGGGGAUGACAGUACCUGAAGAAUAAGCACCGGCUAACUACGUGCCAGCAGCCGCGGUAAUACGUAGGGUGCGAGCGUUAAUCGGAAUUACUGGGCGUAAAGCGUGCGCAGGCGGUUUGAUAAGCCAGAUGUGAAAUCCCCGAGCUCAACUUGGGAACUGCGUUUGGAACUGUCAGACUAGAGUGCGUCAGAGGGGGGUGGAAUUCCGCGUGUAGCAGUGAAAUGCGUAGAGAUGCGGAGGAACACCGAUGGCGAAGGCAGCCCCCUGGGAUGACACUGACGCUCAUGCACGAAAGCGUGGGGAGCAAACA